UGCCAGCCGCCGCGGUAAUACGGAGGGUGCAAGCGUUGUUCGGAUUCACUGGGUAUAAAGGGUGCGCAGGCGGCCUGUUAAGUCAGGGGUGAAAUAUGACGGCUCAACCGUCAAACUGCCCCUGAAACUGACAGGCUUGAGUUCGAGAGAGGUAAGUGGAAUUCCAGGUGUAGCGGUGAAAUGCGUAAAUAUCCGGAGGAACACCAGUGGCGAAGGCGGCUUACUGGCCGAUAUUGACGCUGAGGCGCGAAGGCGUGGGUAGCGAACGGGAUUAGAUA
rnacentral:rRNA from 1 species